rnacentral:rRNA from 1 species
UGCGUAGGCGGAAUAAUAAGUCAGUGGUGAAAUCCUGCGGCUCAACCGUAGAACUGCCAUUGAUACUGUUAUUCUUGAAUUUAGUUGAGGUAGGCGGAAUGUGUAAUGUAGCGGUGAAAUGCUUAGAUAUUACACAGAACACCGAUUGCGAAGGCAGCUUGCUAAACUAUUAUUGACGCUGAGGCACGAAAGCGUGGGGAGCGAACAGGAUUAGAUACCCUGGUAGUCC